GUGAACUUAGAUUUUCAGAAAAUGUAGGACUAUCUUUUGUUUUUCCUCUCUUUUUCUAUAAUGAUUUUCGUACUGUGAAGGUUUUUUUGUAUAAAGCUCAAUUUCUCUAUGACCACUGAAGUAAUCAUCCUGAUGCUUUCUUACCAUGUGAAUGUUGAGACCCUGUUCAUUUUUGAAAUAUCCUUUCUGACAGACCUAUUCCACAGGAUCAGCUGAGAUGUUAUUUCACUGGAUUAUUUAAUGGAUAGGCUUAUUGGGCAUAUAUAGUUGGAUAUCUCUGUCAUCAACAUGGCAGAUAUGUUUUGUUCCUAACCAUCUAUAAUCCAUUCUCUAUGAAGUUCAGACUGUCUGCUCUUCCUUUGGAAAUGCACAGUUAGUCAACCAACAAAGAAACAAACAAACUUGAAGGAUUCUCUAGUGAGUGCUUAUGGAAAUGAUUUUAGUCUACUCUUAGAAUUGUGAAAGACUAUCAGAUUAUGCAAAGACUAACAGAAUAUCCUCUCUUGGAACACUGAAACAAGAAAACCAAACUUAAAAGGAUGGAGGAUUUAAGAAGAACAUAGAUAAAUAUGAUUCCCAACGAAUUUAACUUGUA